AGUCGAGCGCAUCCUUCGGGAUGAGCGGCGGACGGGUGAGUAACGCGUGGGAAUGUGCCCUUCUCUACGGAAUAGCCACUGGAAACGGUGAGUAAUACCGUAUACGCCCUUAGGGGGAAAGAUUUAUCGGAGAAGGAUCAGCCCGCGUUAGAUUAGGUAGUUGGUGGGGUAACGGCCUACCAAGCCUACGAUCUAUAGCUGGUUUUAGAGGAUGAUCAGCCACACUGGGACUGAGACACGGCCCAGACUCCUACGGGAGGCAGCAGUAGGGAAUCUUGGACAAUGGGGGAAACCCUGAUCCAGCCAUGCCGCGUGAGUGAAGAAGGCCUUAGGGUCGUAAAGCUCUUUCGCCUGUGAUGAUAAUGACAGUAGCAGGUAAAGAAACCCCGGCUAACUCCGUGCCAGCAGCCGCGGUAAUACGGAGGGGGUUAGCGUUGUUCGGAAUUACUGGGCGUAAAGCGCGCGUAGGCGGAUUGGAAAGUUGGGGGUGAAAUCCCGGGGCUCAACCCCGGAACUGCCUCCAAAACUGCCAGUCUAGAGUUCGAGAGAGGUGAGUGGAACUCCAAGUGUAGAGGUGAAAUUCGUAGAUAUUUGGAAGAACACCAGUGGCGGAGGCCGGCUCACUGGCUCAAUACUGACGCUGAGGUGCGAAAGUGUGGGGAGUAAACAGGAUUAGAUACCCUGGUAGUCCCACACCGUAAACGAUGAAUGCCAGUCGUCGGGUAGUAUACUAUUCGGUGA
rnacentral:rRNA from 1 species